UAUGCCGUUGGAUCACUGCGUAGCUAACUGUUGUCGUAGACAGAAAAGAGGCAGAGCCUUGUUUUUUGGAGGUGGCACACUUCUCUAGUCAGCAUUUUGCAGCGUGAGGUGGCGUUGAGAGGCUGCAGGAGUUGUAAGUUUGGAAGACUAACAGCUAGUUAAAAUGGAUACUCUCAAAAGAAGGGACCGAGGAUUUGUGGAAAGAUGUUGUUUUACUAAAUACACACGCCGUGGAGUUCAAUGGUCUUUCAUAUAAGGAAUAUUUUUUUCUUUUAUCCGUGUAAAAGGGAAUAACAGUGUUCUGGUAUACAGCUGUAGCAACACGGGGUCUCCUGGGCGCUAUCGCAGGGAGCACGAUACUAGAGCGUCAACAAUACUCAUACUGUGAGGAGGAAUAUAUGAGGGAUCCAGGAUUGGACUGAACGUUUGAUUUGGUGCAGGAUUUCAUUCUAUCCAAAAUAUUAACUCAGUUGGCGAACUGUGGUGCUUGAUUUUAAAACGAGGAAGACAAGGGAGACCAAACAUGGGCCAACAUUAUAAACCACGCUUAGAAGACCAACAAACCAUAUUAAAUCACUUACCGUAAAGGUUUUAAAUGCGAUUUUCGUUGCCUUUUUAAGUCAGAUGAUAAAACGUUUGUUUUAAGAACAAUUGCCUAAGGAUUGUUGAAAUAUGUAUGUACACUUGAAGCGGUAAUUCCAAUAUAGUAUAUUUUAGAAGUUAACAAAGGAAGGCCGUUCCUGUGACGAGCAGAAAGCGUGAUACCUGAACGCCCUCGGCGGUGUUGAACAGCGACUCGACAAAAGCGUACUUACAUUACUCAUUACUUAAUCUUAAUGAAACACAUUAAAGUACAUUUACUUUUAUAUGACCUUUGGACUAGGUUUAAUAUACGCAUAGGCUGAUAUUUUUAUUGUUAUGGAUCUGGAAAAUGUAAUGUAACUGCAUGUGCCCCCGACUGAAUUAUGCGGCUGCGUGCGCAACUGAAGAGGACGGGCAUCCGUACCAUAGACUGUAUAAGAUCCGUACGCGUGUUAUUCAGAAUGUAAAAUACAUUUAUGUAAAUAUAUUUCUUAAUAUUGUAAAUGUUGUAUAAUUGUAUUCGUCUCUAUCUAUCUAUCUAUAUAUAUAUAUAUGAAUACAUAUUCAUUAUGUACGUGUUUUGCUCAACUUAUAACAGAAUUAGAUAUUUGAUUUUUUUUUUAUACAAGUACCCUGGGUUUGAAACACUUUAUAUUUAUUUGAUGGGUAUUUUUUCUGAGUUCCUACAUUCUAUCUAAAAGUCCAAAUCAGUACAAUAAUAGAAGACAACUUAAGGACAUCAACUGACAUUACAUCUCUCUUUAAUUUUUUCUUUUAGUUUAAAAAUAAAAAAAUAUAUUUAGUAGUUUAACCGCCAUGUCUGCCUGGGACAGAGAUUCUCUUGUUAAAUAAAUGUUUCUCAGUACAUUUUGGUGAAGCUUAUAUUGUAAUAAAGCAGUUAACCAUUAUAUAUCUUUUAAGCUAUUAAAAUGAAAUGAGCAAAUAUAUUUAAGGUAUUACAAGCUUGUCUAUGUACAAGAGUUUCAAUAACCUAAAACAUAAUUUUGAGAUGUUGCAUAUUAUUGUAAACAAUUAAAUCACAUUAUUUUGAA